rnacentral:rRNA from 1 species
UCGAAUCUUUGAACGCAUAUUGCGCCCUCUGGUAUUCCGGAGGGCAUGCCUGUUUGAGCGUCAUUUCCUUCUCAUAUCCCUAGGAUGUGGUGAUGAACGACACUUUCGCAAGAAAGUCCGUUUGAAAUGAAUUGGCACGAGUCUUUCGACAGAUUGAUGCUAUGUUUUCAAUGUAUUAGGUUUACACCAUCGUUGAUUGUAGUAUUGGACUGUUGGAGUUAUGGGCUUUGCCUUACAAACUUUACCUUAAAGUUUGACCUCAAAUCAGGUAGGAUUACCCGCUGAACUUAAGCAUAUCAAUAAGCGGAGGAAAAGAAACCAACAGGGAUUGCCUUAGUAGCGGCGAGUGAAGCGGCAAGAGCUCAAAUUUGAAAUCUGGUACUUUCAGUAUCCGAGUUGUAAUUUGAAGAAAGUUAUCUUGGAGUUGGCCCUUGUCUAUGUUCCUUGGAACAGGACGUCACAGAGGGUGAGAAUCCCGUGCGAUGGGGUGCCCAUUCUAUGUAAGAUACUUUCGACGAGUCGAGUUGUUUGGGAAUGCAGCUCUAAGUGGGUGGUAAAUUCCAUCUAAAGCUAAAUAUUGGCGAGAGACCGAUAGCGAACAAGUACAGUGAUGGAAAGAUGAAAAGAACUUUGAAAAGAGAGUGAAAAAGUACGUGAAAUUGUUGAAAGGGAAGGGUAUUUGAUCAGACUGAUAUUCAGUUAACACUGUUCCUUGUGGAUGGUGCUCUAGCUUUUUAUUGGGCCAGCAUCAGUUUAGGUGGCAGGAUAAGAACUGUUGAACGUGGCUCUUCGGAGUGUUAUAGCUUCAGUUGAUACUGCCUAUCUAGACUGAGGUCUGCGGCUUUGCCUAGGAUGCUGGCGUAAUGGUCUAAUACCGCCCGUCUUGAAACAUGGACCAAGGAGUCUAACGUCUAUGCGAGUGUUUGGGUGUAAAACCCGUACGCGUAAUGAAAGUGAACGUAGGUGAGGGCCUUAGGGUGCAUCAUCGACCGAUCCUGAUGUUUUCGGAUGGAUUUGAGUAAGAGCAUAGCUGUUGGGACCCGAAAGAUGGUGAACUAUGCCUGAAUAGGGUGAAGCCAGAGGAAACUCUGGUGGAGGCUCGUAGCGGUUCUGACGUGCAAAUCGAUCGUCAAAUUUGGGUAUAGGGGCGAAA